CGAGCGCACCCUUGUCCUUAGUUGCCAGCCUUAAGUUGGGCACUCUAAGGAGACUGCGGGUGACAUACCGGAGGAAGGUGGGGACAACAUCUAGUCAUCUUGGGCCUUACAUGUAGGGCUACACACGUGCUACAAUGUGAUUUACAGAGGGAAGCGAGACAGUGAUGUGGAGCGGACCCCUUAAAGAAUGUCGUAGACCGGAUAGGAGUCUGCAACUCGACUCCAUGAAGUCGGAAUCGCUAGUAAUCGCAGGUCACAAUACUGCGGUGAAUACGUUCCCGGGCCUU
rnacentral:rRNA from 1 species